GAAUAAUAAAGAAACCUGGGAAACUUUUCUACCCUGAGUACUCUACAGUGACAGUCAAUUCUCUUGUGGGAUUUGAAACCCUCAAGAGAGGCAGCAGUCUACAUUGGUAAUGAGAGAGGGAGAAAAAAGGAUUAUGAGUCACGAGGAGAGUAGAAUGUAUACAGUAGGGGGGCGGUAUGUCAGAGAAGCUUAAGUCUGAGGGUCUGCAUUCUAGAACCAUUGCUGGGUCAGCUUCUGGAGCUGCUCUCACAUCUUGAGAGGGUUGAACAAUAUCUACCCAGAAGACUAGAAAAUAUAUAUGAAUAACAGUGAUUCCUUCAAGACGCUUAACAAUACAUAUCGGUCAAAAGCAUCUAUUUGAUGAUCAUGUUUGUUCCUUCAUUGACUGAGCCAAAUGAAGCAGCCACAGGAAACCAGUGCAGAGACCAUCAGGAAAUUGUCAAAGAACAGCAAGAAGUAAAGAGGAUCGAUUCCUGGAGCCAAACAGGAUUGCAGGAAAUAACAAUAGCAAACCAGCAAAAAUUCAUGUUCCAGGGAACCCAUAUUUGAAUUCUCGCCAUUGUUCAAGCUGAAGAUGAUGAACCAUCAUUGCCUGUUUCCCUAUUCAUUAUCCUGUCAACAUCAAGAGCUGUUCCCAAAGAAGCUCUCAAAUUCACCUUUUAUUAAAGGCUACGAAUGAAUGAAAAAAAAAAAAAGAAACAUACCAAAUGGAAUGAGCAUC